UACAGAGGUCCCGAGCGUUGUUCGGAUUUAUUGGGCGUAAAGGGUGCGUAGGCGGCGGAGUAAGUUGGGUGUGAAAUCCCGGGGCUUAACUCCGAAACUGCAUUCGAUACUGCCGUGCUUGAGGACUGGAGAGGAGACUGGAAUUUACGGUGUAGCGGUGAAAUGCGUAGAUAUCUGGAGGAACACCGGUGGCGAAGGCGGCGUUCUGGACUGCAACUGACACUGAAAAACGAAAGCCAGGGGAGCAAACGGG
rnacentral:rRNA from 1 species